UACGUAGGGACCGAGCGUUGUCCGGAAUCAUUGGGCGUAAAGAGCGUGUAGGCGGCCACUUAAGUCCUGCGUGAAAUCCUGCGGCUCAACCGCAGGCGGUCGUGGGAAACUGGGUGGCUAGAGUGCGGGAGAGGAGAGUGGAAUUCCUGGUGUAGCGGUGGAAUGCGCAGAUAUCAGGAAGAACACCAAUGGCGAAAGCAGCUCUCUGGGACGGUACUGACGCUGAGACGCGAAAGCGUGGGGAGCGAACAGG
rnacentral:rRNA from 1 species